CACUUGAAUAUCGUUUAUAAUCUCGAAACAUAAUCACACACACACAAAAGAUCAAAGAUACACUCGAAUAUCGUUCAUAAUCUUGAAACAUAAUCACACAUACAUAAUAGACAGAUACACUCGAAUGGUCAUUUUUAUGGUUUCAUCGCACGAUGCCGUUUAUGUCAUUAUCAAGGAAAGGCGAAAUAGAUCCUCUCAUCGCAUGGAUAGUAUACACACAAAUCACACAAUGACCACAACAGAUAUGUUUACUAGGUGACCCACACUCACACAAAUGUUUAUCCAUGUUUGGAUUAGGUUUCAAACUCUAUCCAUGUGCAGGUUUACCAUACCCGCUGAACUUCAGUCACACACACACUUCCCUCCUCGAUUCAUACUAAAGAAGAAGGUAUUCGAGCUCUUUACCCUAUUCACUCAUACCCU
rnacentral:lncRNA from 1 species